CCCUACUGGUUCAUGUCAGUUAUUCAUUGCAUCCUACUAAAUGAAAAAGUCAGGCGUAUUCAGUUUCCAUGAGUCUGAGGCUGACAUGCCUCAAAUUUUUCUUGUAUUUGACUGGAUUUUUAUACUAAGUAAAACUGACAUUUUUUUCUUAGUGCUUGCCUUUGCUGUUGGACAUGAAGGUCUCCAUAUCCAAGGUCCCUCGAGUCCAGUUGUGGCCCAGCUGGGAGGUUCGGUUCUCCUGCCAUGCUUUGUUGAAAGCCCACUGCCUCUGGAAGGUCUGCAGGUGGAAUGGAGAAAGACGGAUUCCGAUUCUCUAGUCAGUCUCUUCCAACAAGGAAAACGUCGACCAGAUCUCCAAAGUCAGAAGUUUAGAGGCAAAAUCAACUUUUUUCCAGAUGAACUCACAAAAGGGAACUUCUCCAUCUUACUCAAAAAUGUGGUUGAAGAAGACGCUAGAGGUUACAGAUGUAAAGUAAAUACAAUUCAAGACUCCAGUGAGGUCAUAAUGGAAGUUAGUAAUAUCUAAGAGGAAUACGACAACUGCAGCCAAAUUCCUUGACACAUCUGUGUGUGGUGACUCUUGAUGCCUUGACCCCAGCCUCAGCCCAUUCCUUGUGAAGUUCACCCAAAUUCUUGAAAUGAUUUGCUUGACAAGCCUCUCAAGGCUGUGGUUCUCACGGUUGGUUGUGCAUCUUUUUCUUCCACACGUUUUCCUUCCACUCAACUUUCUGUUAACAUGCUUGGAUACAGCAUUCUGUGAACAGCUUCAUUGGCAAUGAGUGUUUGUGGCUUACCCUCCUUAUGAAGGGUGUCAAUGGUUGUCUUGUGGACAACUGUCAGGUCAGCAGUCUUCCCCAUAAUUGUGUAGCCUAGUGAACCAAAUUGAAAGACCAUUUUGAUGGCUCAGGAACCUUGUGCAGGUGUUUUGAGUUGAUUAGCUGAAUGGCAGUGCACCAUAUUCAAAUUCUUUGAAUUAGUGAGUUUUUGUUAAAUGUGAGCCAAAAAACAUCACAAUUAAAAGUACCAAAGACUUAAACUACUUCAGUCUGUGUGUACUGAAUUUUAUAUAAUACAUAAGUUUCACUAUUUGAGUUGAAUUACUGAAAUAAAUGAACUUUUCCAUGACAUUUUAAUUUAUUGAGAUACACCUGUAAUAUAUUUACAUCUUUGCAUUCAGUAGAGCUGCUUUUAAUUGAUCCUACAUUCAUACAUUCUACAUUCAUCAACAGCUCAUUUAUUUUAUUUCACAGAGUGCUUACAAAAAACAGUGAGGGCUUUGGCUAUUCCGUUUUACCUUUCAGCUAUUUUGUUGGCUGGAUUUUCAAGUAUGUUUACACUGAAGUAGGCUUAUGGUGCUUUAGUGCUCCUUCAUAGUCCAAAUGAAACUGAUUUAUUGACCUUUUUGUGCUACUUUCCUUCCUUCCUUGUUUACUUUCUUUCUUUAAAAGUAUAUUGUGGUAAUAUACCUUACAUAGUUCACUGUCUGGUUUUAUCAGAAACCUGAAUAUUCUUGGGGUUUUUUUUUCAAUCCCAACAGUAUAUUUUUCGAUAUAACCUGAAUGCUGCUACUAUUCAACUAUAUAUAAAUAUAUAUUAAUGUGCUCUUUCUUUAAUAGACCAAAUAUUUAAUUGCCUUGCAAUUUGCUCUGGUACAAGAGAAUUAAUUCUUAUGGCUACACCGUGUGCAUAUCGAGUAACCGAUUAAGCAUUACCAAUUAACAACAUUCCUUUUUUCCUUCAUUCUUUUCUUUAACAAUGUACACAGAAAUAAAAUUUUUUCCUUUUUCCAAACUUUUAUUUAGUUUUCAUUGAAACCUUUGCCAGGAAUUAUGAAAUAUAUGGGCUUCCAGUAACAGUAAUGGCAAUCAUAGUAGUGGUGACUGUCAUCAGUUCAGAAAUAUUAGGUAAGGAAGAAUAUACUUUACUACACUAAGUUUUUGUGUGUCCUAACUGUGCUGCUUUAUAUAGGAGAUGAACAAAGAAAUUUGUUGUUUGUUUUCCAUGUUGUUCAUGUUGCUUUUAAUUCGUCCAAUAAUUCAUUCUAAGAGACUGUUGGCAUCUCUUAUGUUCUUCUCCCCUCACAUUUUUUUCUUUAUUUUUUAAGGUAAAAACGUGCAUUAUUUUUGUCAAGAAAUAAAUCUGCUCUUCGCUGUUCCACAGCUAUCUACAGUUUCCAAAUAUAUCUGACUGUGUGCCUAGAAAUAUUCAACCUUGCACUUGUCGGAACUCAGAGCCGGUCUCCAAGCCAACACAUCACAGGGUGUCCUCUUCUCUUAGGCCUUUAGUUAAAUUUCACUGUUAACUCUAUAAUUACUACAAAAAAACUGAGAAAACUCCUCAGGCCUGGA